rnacentral:rRNA from 1 species
GUUAGGAAUAUUGGACAAUGGGCGCAAGCCUGAUCCAGCCAUGCCGCGUGAGUGAUGAAGGCCUUCGGGUUGUAAAGCUCUUUAGUCCACGAAUAUAAUGACUGUAGUGGAAGAAUAAGCCCCGGCUAACUUCGUGCCAGCAGCCGCGGUAAUACGAAGGGGGCGAGCGUUAUUCGGAAUCACUGGGCGUAAAGCGUGCGUAGGCUGUUUUGUAAGUCAGAAGUGAAAGCCCAGGGCUUAACCCUGGAAUUGCUUUUGAAACUACAAGACUCGAAUUCGGGAGAGGAUAGCGGAAUUGUCAGUGUAGCAGUGAAAUGCGUAGAUAUUGACAGGAACACCAGUGGCGCAAGCGGCUAUCUGGACCGAUAUUGACGCUGAGGCGCGAAAGCGUGGGGAGCGAACAGGAUUAGAUACCCUUGUAGUCC